AGGGCAACCACCUGUCUUGGUUUGCCUGGGACUGAGGGGUUCCUGGGAGGUGGGAGUUUCAGUGCUA
rnacentral:miRNA from 1 species